rnacentral:tRNA from 1 species
GGGGCGGUAGCUCAAAUGGUAGAGCAGCGUGCUGUUUCAGCGCGACGAUGGAUGUUCGACUCAUCCCCGCUCCA